CGGCCACAGUUGACAUUAGAAGAAUAAAAUCAGGCCUUUUGCGAGGAUGUGACCUCUAUUUCUGUUGCUUUGUUGAAUAAAUCACGGAAAGAGAACGAUAUCUAUGGCUCUCUUUUGAGCUCAGUAGCAAAUCAGUGGUUCAUGUAACAGACUAUUCUCUAUAGGAAUCCAAUUUGAGAACAAUAUCCUGCUAUUCCUACCGAGCACAUCUCUGCUCUGGCGGCAGCUCUUGGUCUUGUGGAUAAACAGGAUUUUGUCUCUAUUUCCUCCAGAUCCUCUGAAUAACUUUAUUUGGAAUCUUCCUGAAGUUUAAGAUACUAUUCAUAAUUUGAGAUGUAACUUAGGUUUUAAUAAAAGGCAAGUACAGAGCCUACCAUACUACUGCAACAGAUGGCAACCAGCAAAUAAUCCUUGAUGGCAGGAAAUCCACAAUUCUUGAUUUGUGAUUCUCAAUUUUUUGGUCCUUGAGGUUUUCUUUUACCAAGUCAAAUUUCUGGUUACAGAAGGUGGAGAAGCUGAAAUUACUGUGCCUGCAGUAUGCAGCUGCAACUCAGUGGUUGAUAUCAUCUUCUAUUGAUAUUCCAA
rnacentral:misc_RNA from 1 species